AGGGUGUAAACGCUGCAGACUUGGUGUUGGGAACCCUUCGGGGUGCUCAGUGCCGGAGAGAAGUUGUUAAGUCUGCUACUUGGGAGUACGUCCGCAAGGAUGAAACUUAAAGGAAUUGGCGGGGGAGCACCGCAACGGGAGGAGCGUGCGGUUUAAUUGGAUUCAACGCCGAAAAACUCACCAGCAGCGACUGUUACAUGAAAGUCAGGUUGAUGACCUUACUAGAUUUUCAGAGAGGUGGUGCAUGGCGUCAGUGACU
rnacentral:rRNA from 1 species